GAUGAACGCUGGCGGCGUGCCUAAUACAUGCAAGUCGAGCGAACUGAUUAGAAGCUUGCUUCUAUGACGUUAGCGGCGGACGGGUGAGUAACACGUGGGCAACCUGCCUGUAAGACUGGGAUAACUUCGGGAAACCGAAGCUAAUACCGGAUAGGAUCUUCUCCUUCAUGGGAGAUGAUUGAAAGAUGGUUUCGGCUAUCACUUGCAGAUGGGCCCGCGGUGCAUUAGCUAGUUGGUUAGGUAACGGCUCACCAAGGCAACGAUGCAUAGACGGACUGAGAGGGUGAUCGGCCACACUGGGACUGAGACACGGCGCAGACUCCUACGGGAGGCAGCAGUAUGGAAUCUUCCGAAAUAGACGAAAGUCUGACUGAGCAACGCCGCGUGAGUGAUGAAGGCUUUCGGGUCGUAAAACUCUGUUGUUAGGGAAGAACAAGUACAAGAGUAACUGCUCGUACCUUGACGGUACCUAACCAGAAAGCCACGGCUAACUACGUGCCAGCCGCCGCGGUAAAAC
rnacentral:rRNA from 1 species